GGUGCAGGGGUCUGUGUUUGUAGCCUCCGGACAACCUUUCCCCUCUACCCCUGGAGCGUGCCUGAUGGAUUAUGAGCCGGCGUAGACUGAUUACACCGCCUCUCGCCGCGGGCUGGCCUUUCUGUCACUUUAAGUCGCAGAUAAAAAUCCUUACGAGAAGACGCUCCGAGCACGGAGAAGGUAUGGGUUAUUUGUGGCUGAUUUGCACAUUGUUGCUACCACUGUUUGCUUCGAUAUUAUAGUGAAACCCAUUCCCCAUCGUGAGGCGAUAGCUCCCUCUACAGGACCAACUCUGACCAGGUCACCGCCGCCCCAACUCUCUCCAGCCCAGCCCAGGGACAUCACCCUUCCCUGACAUUUCUGCUCUGCUAAAACUUUAAAAAAAAGGAAGAGGAAUAUUAAAGCAAUCAGGAGACCUCUAAUGCUUCGCGCCGCGCCGUAAGAGGGAAACUGCAAGAAUAACUUCCGACCGAUUAACAUUACUUGAGUAAACUGGAACAUUCUCUGUGAACUCAAUUACCGUCCAUGUAUAUGUAAUAAUGAAUGCGUGCGAGUGGCCGGCUAUGAAAGAGCACAUUUAACACAGCGUCCAUCUGCAGUAACUGCCGGAGUAGCGCAACGCGGCGAAAAUAUCAGACUUCAAUCAAACUAUCUAUCCAGUAACGAACAUAAAACUGGCGUCUUCUGGUUAAGACAUGGGAGAUUAAUUCAAAGUGUAUGCUUCAUACCUAUUUACUAUGUAUUAUGUAGUCUUGUGUAAGCUUAGAAUAUUGUUGUACUGAGCGAGAUGGUAUUCUUGAAAUUGAAAUUUCUUUUCAGCGCGAUGUUAAUUUAGCGUCUAGUCAUGUUUUAUUUAAAAAGGCCACAUUUCGUUCAUUUCCAACGUUUGCUAAAAGCCGGCUCGCUCUCCAUCUCAAUGUUCUGAAAAGCUUCAGUAGUCGUGUAGAUGUAGUCGCAGGCAUAGAUAAAUAAUCGUUUUAUCUCCCCCCCUCCACUCGGUACAGUGUGUUGUUCAAUACACAUGCAGAAAAACAUAUUUAGUUUAUCUUGCUUUCAAAAUGAUCAAAACGAGAUUUAUUCAUAAAAUAAAUCGGUGUGAAUUCAUUUUGUAAUUCAACUAGAAUUCGUAUGCAUUCAUUUACAAUCAUACGCAAAGAUCUUUAAGUCGAUCAGACUGGCGGUGACAGCUACUGUUUUAUCGAUUAUGCUCCGACACAAAUUGUAACGCACAAUUAGUUGUACGGUAUGAUGGAGGGGAUUCCUGUAUCUCUGAGCCUGCCUGCCAUCGGCGCAACGCCAGUGACCAACAACUUGUCCAACUUCUGUCUCAACAAGGUUGUUUAAAAAAAAAAUGAUUUCAAGCUGAAUAUGUUUGUAUGUUAAUGCGCUUUAAAUACACAGGGUUUAAAAUUGGAUUAAAGUUAGUUUCUUUGUUUAAUUCUGCAAGAGUUUUAGAUUGUCUUUUCCACAACUCUUCAUUGAUGAUUAAUUCAGUAUAUAAUAUUGCAUUCAGGAUUUUUUUUUUUAAACGACUAAUUUCCUGAUUGAGUUAGAUUCUUGUCGUUGCAUGGAGAAUGAUCCAAGCACAUGAACGGGCCAUUACCAAUUGAGGGGAAGUUCCGGAGCUGAUGCCUUCAAAAAACAAGGCAGACUUGAAACAUUCGUUUCAUACUUCUUUCAGGCGUGCUUCGAAACUGAGAAUUACCAGCAGCAUUUAAAACCAAAUUUGCAAACAUCUUACCUUUACAGUGCAAGGGCUCUUGCAUAAUCACGGUUGGCCCCAUAGCUGAAGCGACCACGUCGCGAGGCUGGAAACUGGAAGUAUCCUGAGCUAAUUCUGCUACCACCAUCGUCUAUUGCAACAAGUGAUGGCUUCCACUGAUUGUCACCAGAAGCUUGCGUCCUUUUCAGGACGGACGAUGACAGCGAUGUCAACAUUUGAAAUAUGGAAGAUGGACAUGAAAGAAGAAGACUGAUGACCUCAUGACAAUCAUCACCACUAAAAAAUCUUAACUA